rnacentral:lncRNA from 1 species
GUAGUAGUCUGCUAGAUGGCAAAAGCUAAAGCGGAAAUAUGUGAGCAAUAGUAGUAGUUGACAGAGAUUGUGAAGUACAAUAGUUGGCUACCUCGAGUACAUCUUGAUGCAAGUUUGCAACUGAAAUAGGUCAUGAGAGGGUCCUCUUGCAACUCGACCUAUACGUACAUUAAAAUUUCAUCAUUGAUUUCAUAUACUGAAAAUUGAGGAUAUAAUCUAUGAUACUAACGAUGACCAGUAGUGAUGACCCUGCUUAUUAGUUUACAUGAGCACAAACUCAUGCACCAAAGCUUACAGCAAGGCGAUAAUAAUUAGGUUUAAAUAGAAUAUGAUGUUCCUUGCACACAAAUUAGUAGUGAUUCAAAAAACUUCAGAUUGUAGUCUGGAAUUAAAUAAAAUGCCAACUACACAGACAAAUAUUUAUGGAUCUUAGUUAUUUGAUGGGGAAGAUAGACAUGGGGAUAAAUGACAUUCUUAUCAAGCUUAACAACGGACGACACUAUUUCCCAUAUUUGUUUGUCAGAGAUAUAGGUAUUCAAAUCACAACGUGUAAAAGAGGUGAACUAACAAACAAAACCAUCAUACUUAAAAAACGUAAAGGUAAGCAUGGAGAUGAUAUUUGUUUGCAAUAUGGAUAGCAGAUAUUAUCUACAAAGUUAACAAAUACAAUUAAAUGAAGAGUAGAAGCUCGGAAAAUCUAGUGCUGGAAAACCCAUCGGAAAGCAUGUGCGUGUGCUUUUCACUAAAGUUCUUAACAUUUUUUUCUGCGUUGCUUUUUACAGAGCUUCUUAGCAGGAUGACUGAGAGGCAAAUGGACGAAUAUGAAGCAUUUAGUGAUGGAUGCAGGUUUGCCGACGUAAAAGCCUUUUUUGUUUUGUGCUGUGGGCAAGACAAAUAAGUACGCAUGAUAUUGAUGGAGACUCAUAAGAUGAGAAGAACAGGGUCGAUCCUUUUGCCUCGUCCAUGGAAACACCCAUGAGUUUCACCUGAUCACCUGUGAAAAACGUCACACUUCGCCUGAUCAGCAAGUGGGAGGCAACAACUUUAAUAUUCAUUUGUUGAUACAAUAAUUCUAUAUUCAGAAGUAGAAACAUGAGCUUAUGCAGUUGCCGAUCAAGUAUACAGUAGAAAUCCACAAAAUUGGUUGUGUUAAAAUAAUUCACAAAAUUAUUCACAAAAUUGGUUGUGUUAAAAUAAUUCUAUAUUCAGAAGUAGAAAUCCACAAAAUUGGUUGUGUUAAAAUAAUUCCUGUAAGCAAACAAAAAUUGCAGUUUGUAGUGAAAAAUCUCACCUGCAGUUCCAUAUCCAAUUCCAAUAUAUGAGACUGAGUGCAAGUAUAUAGCAAGAAAAAAAAUCAAGAGUGAAAGCGGGUAUUUUUUACCAACCUAUAUAUGCAAGAAAUGCAUAUCGCUAAGUUUGUAUCUUCUAAC